GCCCGCUUGGCUAAGUGGUAUAGCGUGUCACUAGUAGCAUGGGACUCAUCCAAGAUUCUCGUAAACUAGAUGCCAUGACAAGAUCAGCGGUUCGAUUCCGCUAGUGGGCA
rnacentral:tRNA from 1 species